CAGCACCUCAAGUGUUCAGGAUGAUUAUUGGGCCUAAAGCAUCCGUAGCCGGCGCUGUAAGUUUUCGGUUAAAUCUGUACGCUCAACGUACAGGCUGCCGGGAAUACUGCAGCGCUAGGGAGUGGGAGAGGUAGACGGUACUCGGUAGGAAGGGGUAAAAUCCUUUGAUCUAUUGAUGACCACCUGUGGCGAAGGCGGUCUACCAGAACACGUCCGACGGUGAGGGAUGAAAGCUGGGGGAGCAAACCGGAUUAGAUACCCGAGUAGUCC
rnacentral:rRNA from 1 species